rnacentral:piRNA from 1 species
UCUCCGGUUUCGUUUGGCCAUACUGGCAU